UGGGGAAUAUUGGACAAUGGGCGCAAGCCUGAUCCAGCCAUGCCGCGUGUGUGAAGAAGGCCUUCGGGUUGUAAAGCACUUUCAGCGAGGAGGAAGGGAGUUGUGUUAAUAGCACAGCUUCUUGACGUUACUCGCAGAAGAAGCACCGGCUAACUCUGUGCCAGCAGCCGCGGUAAUACAGAGGGUGCAAGCGUUAAUCGGAAUUACUGGGCGUAAAGCGCACGUAGGCGGUUUUUAAGUCAGAUGUGAAAGCCCCGGGCUCAACCUGGGAAUUGCAUUUGAAACUGGAAAACUAGAGUGUGUGAGAGGGGGGUAGAAUUCCAAGUGUAGCGGUGAAAUGCGUAGAGAUUUGGAGGAAUACCAGUGGCGAAGGCGGCCCCCUGGCACAACACUGACGCUCAGGUGCGAAAGCGUGGGGAGCAAACAGGAUUAGAUACCCGAGUAGUCCCUGAGCGGGCUGGCAAGGCGCAU
rnacentral:rRNA from 1 species